UACGAAGGAUGCAAGCGUUAUCCGGAUUUAUUGGGUUUAAAGGGUGCGUAGGCGGACUUAUAAGUCAGUGGUGAAAUCUAUGGGCUCAACCCAUAGUCUGCAUUAGAAACUGUCGGGCUUGAGUAUGGGAGAGGUGAGUGGAAUUUCCGGUGUAGCGGUGAAAUGCGUAGAUAUCGGAAGGAACACCUGUGGCGAAAGCGGCAUCCUGGACCGGCAUUGACGCUGAGUGAGCGAAAGCCAGGGGAGCAAACGGG
rnacentral:rRNA from 1 species